AAUAGAUACCCCGGUAGUCCACGCCCUAAACGAUGUACACUAGUUGUUGUGAGGCUCGACCUUGCAGUAAUGCAGUUAACACAUUAAGUGUACCGCCUGGGGAGUACGGUCGCAAGAUUAAAACUCAAAGGAAUAGACGGGGACCCGCACAAGCGGUGGAGCAUGUGGUUUAAUUCGACGAUACACGAAGAACCUUACCUGGACUUAACAUAGUAAGAAUGAUUUAGAGAUAGAUUAGUGUCUGCUUGCAGAAACUUGCAUACAGGUGCUGCACGGCUGUCGUCAGCUCGUGUCGUGAGAUGUUGGGUUAAGUCCCGCAACGAGCGCAACCCUCGUCCUUAGUUGCUAACAGUUCGGCUGAGAACUCUAAGGAGACUGCCUACGCAAGUAGGAGGAAGGUGAGGAUGACGUCAAGUCAUCAUGGCCCCUUAGUCCAGGGCUACACACGUGCUACAAUGGGGUAUCAAAGAGCAGCAAUACGGUGACGUGGAGCAAAUCUCAAAAAUGCCUCCCAGUUCGGAUUG
rnacentral:rRNA from 1 species